GCCGAGCUGGGUAACGCUAGUUUGUGACCCGAGUGGGGGCAUUGAGAUGAUUGGACAAUGACUCGGUCCAACAGGCAGGGUCUGUUGGUGCGACUCUCUGGCCUGCCCGUUCCAAGUAGAGAGUUGAAUCAUGUGGUCCGAGCGAAGGCUUGGGCCCUCGUGGCUCCUAGAGAGGAGGGCACCGCGUGAGGCUGGUUUCACAGAGCAGCGAAAACCUCCCGCUUUCGACAGUGGAAGGAUAACGGGCCAGUGCAUCCUAGACCCAAUUUGUCUGGUGGACCGAGAUCAAUCGGACAAUCACCUUU
rnacentral:SRP_RNA from 1 species